rnacentral:lncRNA from 1 species
CAGCCAUAUGCUUCGGGUAUUGUGGGUAAGGGUGACCCAGAUGUGAACUUGGGGGGUGACUGAUGCUAACUGCUAUUUGUUUCAGGUUUGGUGUGGAGAUUACCGGUGAGGAGUUUGAGUUGCUACUUGACAGAAUCCCCCGGGAUGAAGAUGGAAAUGUCAGAUCCCUCCAACUCGUGGCCAUGCUGGAUGAUCGGUGAUUGGAAUAGUCAGUACUUCCCAUAUGAGAAAAGCCUGCCACCGGCCAUCUUUAUCAGACACAUCGCCAGUCUCUGAGCUGUAUGGCUGGAGACAGCGGUCUACCGGGUAAGUAUGGGGCUUACUAAACUUGUAAAUUCAAGGACUUCUUUUCCUUCCAGGGCGUUUACUACUUGUUUAUUGAUCUUGUAGAUGCUGCUGUGAAGUAAGCGAAUUUCUGUCACCAGGGACUUUUGGUGGUAUUUCUGGUGAAUUUCAAUGUUUUUUUUGUAACCGAAAUAAAAGUUGGAUAUAGUUCUGAGGUUCUUCUUGUUGCAGUUGAAUUAAACUAGUAUGUAGAAAACAAAGCUUCCUUUAUUCUUUUCAUUUUUCCUCCAAAAGUUAUUUAAGAUCAUUAAAAACUGAGUUUCCAAAAAUUGUCAUUAAAAAAAGGAUUUAAAGAUUUAGAUGAAGUGAACCUCAUGCAUUUCGUGCAGGAAAAAUAUAUAUUCUUUUAAAGAGGUAAGAAGCCUUAUAUUGUUUAAAGAGCCUCUUUUUUAAGGUCACACUAUUGCACUGACCUUUUUUCCUAUGGUUUCAUUUCUUUUCUGAAUGUAUAUUUUCACCCAAGAAUACAUUCUAAUCUAGUUUUGGGGGGAAAUUGAUCAUCUUUUUAAGAAAAUUAAAUUAUUAUAAUUCAUAAUUAUGCAUGAUUCGUGCAUGCUUUCAUCUGAUGGAGUUUAUUGAAAGUGUCCCCUCUAGUAUAAGCAGCUUGCUUUUCUGUAAGCCCUUGAAAUCGUGUGAAGACACAGAAAACUCAAUAGCCUGAAACUGAGCUGGCCUCUGUUUCUACACAUGUAUUUAUCCUAGUUGCUUUCCAAAUUAGAUCUCUCAUUGUUGGUACAAUUACAACUCACAAUAUUUUGUUUGAAGGUUUGAUACUCAUCCUGAAAUAACAUAAGGAAAGAUCCAUCCUCUUCGGGAAGCACUGAUCACAAACCAAGAUAAGACCCUGAACCUAUGGUGUUUGUAAGACAUUCUGGCCACUCGCCAAAAUCCGUCUGUGUUCCCAAUGUCAACAUUAGCCCCCCUAGAAGAGGCGACAGCUACUUCCAGAUGUGUUCCAAGACACUCAGCUAUCAUACUUGUUGACAGAGUCUGAGCAAAGGUAAGACAUCACAGCCCUUCCUAGUCCUGGUGAGGCCUGUGAGCGGCCUGAGCCUCUGCCUACU